rnacentral:rRNA from 1 species
CAGCUCGUGUCGUGAGAGGUUGGGUUAAGUCCCGUAACGAGCGCACCCCUUGUCCUUAGUGACCAGCUCGUUAUGGUGGGCACUCUAAGGAGACUGCCGGUGCCAAACCGGAGGAAGGUGGGGAUGACGUCAAGUCAUCAUGGCCCUUACGGCCUGGGCUACACACGUGCUACAAUGGUCGGUACAGAGGGUUGCCAAGCCGCGAGGUGGAGCUAAUCUCACAAAACCGAUCGUAGUCCGGAUCGCAGUC